rnacentral:tRNA from 1 species
GCCCCCGUAGCUCAGCUGGAUAGAGCAACGGACUUCUAAUCCGUAGGUCGCAGGUUCGACUCCUGCCGGGGGCGCAA